UUUUAUUUUAUUUUAUUUUAUAUCACAGAAUAUUUAGGGUUGGAAGGGACCUCUGGAGACCAUCCAGUGCUACCAGGAUCACUUAAAGCAGAAAAUAGGACUGCUGUUCGUGACAAGCACAUGAUUUACAAAAUGAAGAGUAAAGAAUCGUGUCAGCUAGAGAGAGAGAAGGAAGAUGAAAAAAGCACAGGAAUACACAGGAGGGAAAAAGAAGCAGCAAGAACAUUGUGUUCAUUAGCCACAGACCCAAAUUAGCUUUGGAAAGAGAUCUGGAAAUUAUAUUAUGCUAUGAAAGCAUCAGGGUGAUUGUGACACCGUCCUGCAUGAGCUGCAUUUUCCACCUGGAUGCCAUCACCUGGGAGUGCUGAGGCCCAGCUGCACAGGUGACAUCCCUGUGAGAGGAACACACAGUUCCUCCUCAAGUACUUCCUCCAGCAGAUAAAAGACACCACGACUUUCCUCUUUCUGCUUCUGCGACAAACAGGCAUUUUACACGCUGCUGGAAGACUUUUUCCCCCUUUCAGUCAGCACAGCUGAACAAUAGAUAAUAACAACCUUUUUCCUUUGUGUGCAUGUUCUGCUCUUUUUCACUGCUUAAAUAAAAAAAAGUACAAAAAUGAAAC